UCAUUCAUGAUCAGGUCCAAGUCUUUGC
rnacentral:piRNA from 1 species